rnacentral:rRNA from 1 species
GUCAGCAGCCGCACCACCUGCAGUUCAGACUAGGAAAUCCACCUGAAGCUACAUAGGUUUGGGCCUGGCCAGUGCUUUGAUGGGAGCCCAGCUAGGAAAGCUGAGUUGCUGCUGGAA